UUAUCCUUGCAUUAACGUACCAUCACGUGACACGCCGUUGCAGAUAGGCUACCUCUGACAUGUCAAAACAAAAGUAGCGUCGACUCGGUUAUCGUGGACUGUGCCAAUAAACUAGGCUAUUUAACAAACGCAACGCAGCUCACAUAAACGUCAAUAUAAAUCCAUUAUCCAAAAUAAAUUAACUUGACGGUUGGUUCAUUUCUGUCAGAAGGCUUUCACCUGACCUAUACAAAGGCUGCAACAAAGUUAAUGUUUGGAAAGCCAGAAGAAGUUGAGCAGACAAAGAGAAGGAGGGAAGCUAAGGCAGCUCCAAUCAUCCCUCCACAUAGCUGAACAAUGAUGUAAGGUGCCAGCAGGAUCACCUCCAGCCCCCCGACCAGGCUUCCUUUCACUACUGUUGGAAGGUUCAGUCCAGUUUGCACACUGUGGAGGUUUCAAUUCCAUAUAUGACUAAAGGAGACCUUGGCAGGUCAGUAUCAUUUCAAGAGAAAGACUCCCCCUGCACUAGGGGAGCAUCUGCCAAUCAGGAAGUCUGGGUCUGUGAGGUUUACUACAGAAGGAGACUCAAACAUUUCCUCUGCUGUGCCUGGCCUGUGCUCUACAAUGGCCUCAAUUCCUGUCGUAUGCAUGCAAAUCCCUCCAAGCAAUUGAAAUGAUUUUAAAGCAUGCAUGUUGCCACACGCAAAGGACAUAUGGCCACAUUUGACCUCAUCAAUAGUAUCAUCCAUUAGCCAUAGUAGUUCAUACUGAAUAGUCAUUAUAUACAUUGAGAGACCUACAUAGAGUAUAUGCUAUAUGUCCCUUAUUAAAGCAACACCAAAGCACUUUUCCUG